GGGCUCCUGACUCCAGGUCCUGUGUGUUACCUCGAAAUAGCACUGGACUUGGAGUCAGAAGGCCU
rnacentral:pre_miRNA from 2 species